ACCGAAAAUAUCAGCAAAAAUGGAGUUUUGAAGGCUGAAAAUUUUCAGCAACUAAAAGUCCUCUCAAAUCAAGAAUUACCAAAUCCGAACCUAGAUCGGGGGAAGGCCAAGCAAACCGACUAAACCGAAUAGUCGAGUACUUUUUGUGAACCGAGUGUUAUCAAGCUAACUUAAGGAUCCCUUAAAGUCAAAGAUAUCGAUCACACUAUCGGCCGCAAUACCCGGUAUAGUUGGAUUUAUAUUUUUGAUGGUGGCAUGUAUAGGGCUAGACUAGGAUGUUGUAUUAAGAGAAUGGUUCAUGUAUUUUGGCUUAAGUCAAAGGCCCUUCAUUUUGUAAUCAAGCCUGGAAUAAUGGUUAUUAUUCAUUUUGAUGAAUGCAUAUAAUGUUAUUUCUAUGGAUG